GCCACAGGUUGCCCCAGGAGAGGUUUAGAUUGGGUAUUAGGGAAAAUUCCUUUACUGACAGAGUGGUGAAGCCCUGUCAGAGGCUGCCGAGGGCAGUGCAGGAGUCCCCAUCCCUGGAGGGGUUCAAAAACCAUGCAGAUGUGGCCCUUGAUGACAUGGUUCAGUCAGCACGGUGGGUUGGGCUGGUGGUUGGACUGGAUGAACUUAGAGGUGUUUUCCAACCUUAAUGAUCCCAUGAUUCUUGUGUCCAUGCCAGGUCCUUGUGCAGGACUCACAAGGCAGUCCUGGUGUUAUCCACACAAGCAGCACCCUGCACCAACCCAGCGAUUUCUUUAUUCUUGCAUCGUUUAAAAAUUGUCAUUAUUUGGUUUAAAGCAGCCAACCUCCAGUCUGGGAGUUCUUAUAGAAAAUCCAUGUAUCCGUAUACCUUCCCUGCUCUCGGCUGCUUCGAGAAGCUGGUUUUACUUUAACACAUAUUAAAGGAAAGAGCUUUUUUCCUUCCCCGUAGAUUAAGUUUGGCUAAACAAUUCAGUGUGAACUGUUGGGUACGAGGCAGAAACCUGUAGGCAAAAUUACCCAGCUGCUAUAAGUUUAGACCAGCAUGGGAUGAAUUUCAGGAUCGUAUAUUAGUUUUCAUUUAAUCUGAUUAUUCUGGGCUGGAGUUCCUGGAGGGUCUUCAGGUUAUUGUCAGUCAAAAGAAUCUUUAAAAGCUUCCAUUUGAACUAAACUUUUCCCAUUUGAAGUCUCUUUUCAUUAUGGAUCGAUUCUUAUUUUAAUGAAAAGAUGUUUCUCCCAACCCCCCGCUUUUUUAUUUCCCAGACGGGGUUAAAACUGAAGCCGCGAUGGGGUCUUGCCACUCAAAAUACCAUUUUCCUCUUCUGCUGAGGCCACUGGCUUGGCUGAAGGGGCUUGGGCAGACAACGAGGAGGCAGAUAAUGCAGAAAGGCACCUCCGCUGCUCCCAGCGAUGCUUUGUGGUGCUCAACUCCUCAUCCUCAAACCCUUCUCUCACUGGGAAAAUGCUUUAAGUGCAUGAAUCCAGGGGCAGUUCCAGCUCAAAAGGACUAAAAGGUCUUAAAAGCCAGUUGCUGGAUGGCUCCAAGUCACACUGGUGUCUACUUGCUGCCACCUCUUGGUUCCUGUUUGGGGAGCAGCACAGGCUGACAGGAGGGGUCCAGCGUGACCUUCUUGGUGGUGGGACUGUCCUCGUCAGGUCUGCCUUUGGUGCAGGAGUGGCUGUUUUGUGGCAUAGAGUGGCUUUAGGCUUCCCCAACGCUGAGCUGAAGGCACCUCCGUAGAGCAUCCAUCCACCUCACACAGUUCCCGCAGGCGGGGCAGAGGGCCAAGAGCCUGCCCCAGCGCUGGGGUAGGAAACAAAACAGUACAGAGACAUCCAGGAAUAACCCCCAAGCCCACAUUCUGUAUUUAUGCAGGGUUUUACAUUGGAUGUGCUGUCCUGAACCUUCUGGAGUCCAUGUGCUGCUCUGGUCAGAUACCACUGAGCCAUGCCGUGGCUGCAGGCAGUUUGCCUGGCAUGGGUUGGUUUGAGGAACGUGGAGAGUUUAUCUCAGCUUGGCUCCCUGCUCGGAAGGCCUUUGGCUCCUUUGGGAAUAACCACACCGUGCGGACAACCCUUGCCAUGAGACCCCUCUGCCAGCCCAGCCGAGACUCGCUGAAGCCGGCGCCAGCCGCGGUGACGCCAGACGUGCUGGUCACAGGGCAAGCUGCAGAGAGGCGAGCGGGGAGCGUGCAGCUGUGGGCUCGGCGGCAGAGGAGCCAUCUGCAGCGCCCGCCCGGGAGAAAAGCCUUGCAGCUGCGCGCGCCUGGUACCGGCGGUACCCGGACACGGUCAUUCAUCACCAGGAGCCCAGGCAAGGAAGCUUGGCAGCGAAAAGGACGAAGGCAACCACAGGACGCGGAUCUUAGAAGUACUCUGCUACAGCGUGUGUUGAAUCCACAGCCUUGGAGCUUGGUUCCUCUUGCUGUUGUAGAAAGGCAGGAUGUGUCCGUCGGGUCCUGUGUGGGAUGGAGCAGCUCCAAGGUGCCUCCAUCGAGCUGGUCCUGCCCAGCGGCAGGAGGAAUGAGCCAUGACCCCAGGCUAGCUCUUCCCCGAGAGGUGGGCGCGGGAGGAGGCAAGGGUGUUCCUUCCCAAGAAUCAUGGCAAGGGGGUACGAGUGUUUAAAUCAGCAAUGCAGCACAUUGGGUUAUGUUGGGUGGAAAUUCAUGGUGCCUUUCUUGGUGCGCUCACAGAGGCCAUUUCUUACCAUCUUUCCUGGGUCUGUAGACCCAUCUAAGCUAUGGCAAAUGGCAGGAGAGAGCAAAUGUGUGAGUUGAGCCCUACGGGUACUUAUGGGCUUCUAACUCCACUGAUUCUGGGUGUGUGAAAUGCUGCUGAAGGCUCUGAUUCGCUUUCCCUGUUGUCUCUCCCGCACACUAGAAGAUCCCUGCCAUGGGCACUACAGCAGCAUGGAUGGCCUUGGAGUGAGGACACAGUGAUGGGCUGAGGACCCUGGGUUGGAGUGCUCAUGUUUGCCACCCCUGACCGGGUCCAUCUCUACAGCCAUCGCUUGGUCUAGCACAGGGAGCCAGCAGACAUCCAACAGUGAUGUCUGUGGAAGGCUCUGACAUUGCCUCUGAUCUUUCUUCUUGGCCCACAGUUCACUGGAGAUGUGAGUGGGUAUCAGGAGCUGCAUGAGCAACAGAGGUGACCCCAAAACCCCACCUGCCAGUCCCAGGACACGGGCAACAUCACCAGACCCAUCAGUGGAGAUUUCACUCCUGUGAAAUGGAAGCAGUCACCUUCUCACUAGAAAGAGGUCGGAGUCAUCCAAGGUCACACAGUUGUGCAGGAAGAGAACUACUGCCAGAGCUCAAUGCUUUAAAAUCAUCUUUAAGUCAAGAGCAGCAUCUUUAAGUGCUGGGUUUAAGAAGAAAAGCUGAAGCAGAGUCUCCCAGAAAUUCUUACCUACUGGUUAAAUUUAAUUUCUGCAUUAAUCUUCUUCCCUCAUGCUUGGAAGAAGCUUGCCAUGACCUUCUGCAAAAAUUUCUUGUUUUCCUCCUCAAAACCAGGCCUGAGCGCUGCCGUGCCGGGUACCAACCACUCUGUUCUUGACCUUUUCCUCCUGGUCAUGGAAAAACUUUGGGAAAAAAAAGGGAGAAAGAGGAGGAUUUUUCAACAAAACACAACAAAUCUCAACAAGCAGGAAAAUCUUUUGUUUCCAUCAGCAGUUUUCAGAGAGCGGGACCGGUUCCUGGCCAACUCUCAGCGUAAACUCGAGCCAGGCUCUGCUCAAAGGGAGCAGGAGCUCCCUGUGGAGAAGCUCAUCCCAGAUCGAGCCCAGGCAGGGGGUCGUCUCCGCUUCCCUCUGAAGCGCUGGCCACCAUCAAGGACGGAUACUGGACUGCAAGCCAGGGGGAAAUAGAGCCAUUCCCACAUUUUUAUGAUUUCUUUUAAUUACUCCAGGUGGGAGUUUAGAGGAAUAAGUGUUUUCAGGCUCAUGGCACUGCAGCCGUGGGAAGCGGAGCAUUGGAGGCAUGUUUCUCCGUGUGCUUCCCAAAAUCCGGUGCAAACCCUUGGUAAGUUAAAGGGGCAAAGCAGCUUGGAAGCAAACUGGGCAGGAGCCCUCCUGAAGUGGCCCCUGGUCCCGUGGGCUCAGAGGGCAGCAUCUCCACCUGCCUUUACAGGCUGUUCUAAUUUUAAGUUUUAUAAGCAAAACCAAAGAUUUAGGGGUAUUCCAGUACCUGAAGAGGCUACAGGAAAGCUGGGGAGGGACUUUUUACAAAGGCUUGGAGUGAUAGGACGAGGGGCAGUGGGUAUAAACUGGAGAGGGGCAGAUUUAGACUGGACAUAAGGAGAAAUUCCUUCACAGUGAUGGUGGUGAGGUACUGGCACAGGUUGCCCAGGGAAAUUGUGGCUGCCCCAUCCCUGGAGGUGUCCAAGGCCAGGUUGAAUGGGGCUUGGAGCAACCUGAUCCAGUGGGAGGUGUCCCUGCCCGUCAUGGGCUUUGAGGUCCCUUCCAACCCAAACCAUUCCAUGAUUCUAUGAUUUUAUCUUCUAUUCCUCCCCUCUCCCCUCCGCCUCAAAAGAGGAUGCAGGGGAUGUGUAAGGUUACAGGAAUAACACAACUUACAAAAGGAGGCAGACAGAAAGUUUGUGUCACGUUAAGCAGGCGAGACAAGGCACAGCUGAAUUUAUAGCAACCCUCCACAGAAAUGAUAAAUGGGAGCUGUAAUUUUUAUUGGAGGAGAGCAGAUCAUGGGUGAGGGAACAAAAUAAUUAGAAAAGCAUAAAUUAGAUAUGUGGGUUGGUGGUGGAGAGUUGGGCUCGUAUAUGAUGGGAGUUCCUUCUGGGACACAAUCCAGAGAUGUGCAUGGAAAUUACCUGCAAAAAACUGUUUUAUUAAGUCAGCUUAGGGAGGAUCUUCUUGAUCAGAGCUCUGUUGACCAAUGCUCCAAGAGGGACGGCUGCGCUUUGCUUCCCACGGCUCCCAAACCCCUCCUGUAGCAACUGCUCAUGCUGUGCUGCUCCAGAUUAACCUGUCCAGGUAUUUAAACACACAGGGUGAAGUUCAUCGGGCAGGACCAGUGCACAAUUUAAGCCCUGUACAAGACCUGCAAGAAGCUCUGUAUUUCAUAGAAUCAUAGACUCCCUAGGUUGGAAAAGACCUUCUAGGUCAUCAAGUCUAACCAUUCCCGUCCACUACUAAACCAUAUCACUAAGCACCUCAUCUACCCGUUAGAGACCUCCAAGGAUGGGGACUCCACCUGCCAGUGCUUGAGAACCCUUUCAGUGAAGAAGUUCUUACUAGUGUCCAGUCUGAACGUUCCCUGGUGCAGCUUGAAGCCAUUUCUCCAAAUGGCUUUAGGGAAGGGUGUGCUGGGUUGGAUGUGGACCCACCCAGCUGCACUGGGUGCUGGUCCCAAGGAUGCAGGGCCAGUAAUGCAUUGUCCUUCAGGGCCACCAGCCUUUACUCAUCAAAGGGAGUACCAGCACAGGAGCCUCCAUCUCUGCGAAAGCAUGGGAAUGACCAAUAGAAUUCCAGUUUUCGGAGGAUGUUUCUUCCCUGCACGCUAUCUGCAGGAGCUGAGGAGGCUCCAGCUUGUCACGGUUGGACAUGCCCCGUGGAGGAGCUGGUGGCUGGUUUCUCCUGUGGUAAGAGAUGCCAGUGCACAGCAGCAGGGCUCCCCUCUACCCCAUCACCACAGACCUUGGCUUCAACAGGGACUUUCUCCAGUGUCUGCCAUUUUCUCUCUUUCUUUUGAUGCCAGAAAUGCCUCCAUGAGACAAAUUUCCCUGGUAAUUGUCCUUUGGAUGAGUUUGGCAAAUUGCAUAAGCCCUGGGUUCAAGCUGGCUGGGUCUCCCAUCCGAGUGCCUGAGGCUUCCUGGGGCAGGGACUAAAGAGCUGUGAAAUGCAGAGGUAUAACAGAUGUUGACAUGUAGUGAAAAUACCGAACGCAGGAGCCUAAGAUAAUAAAUCUGAAAAAUUAACACGUAGGGGACCGAAAAAAGGAGCAAUAUGUUUUGGUAAUCAUUCUGAACUGCUGAACCCUUCUCCUGCAGUCCAAACCUCUCUGCUCUUAAGCAGAUGUCAUUCAACCAAUGAUUAACACAUUACCGAAUUUCACCAGUCGUUUAAUAAAAGUUUUACAUAACAUGCAGGUAAUUGCUUCCAAAUGUCAAGGUAACAAUGCGGGCUUCUAUGGAUGGCAUUGUUUCCAGCGGCAUGUGAAAACCCCUCAUUUUGCCUUGAUAUCAGGCAGAGUCCCAUGGUGACGACCCUGCGCUUGCCCAGCUGCUUUUCCCGUCACUCCUGAAUGCUGGAGACAAAGAAACAGGCUGGGAAGAGUCACAGAUUUCAGUCUGGAAAUUUCAUCACUGCUGAGUGCGAGGAGGCAACAGGAAGAAUGAGAUGAACGGUAAGGCUGGGCAGCAGUGAAGGGCUGUUGCUCUCCAGAGCAGCCCUUGCCUUGAACCCAAAACUCUACAAUUAUCUAUCAUAAGAGAAGGAAAAAAUUCAUCCCAACAAGUUUAUUUGUUGUCCUAUUGCACAGCCAGGGGUGUUUGCUUUGCUCCGGUGCAGGACCUCGCUUGUUAUUUCAGUGUCGGUGCAGGAGUGAAGUGUGAGAGUGAUGGAUGCUCGGGGACCAGAGAGCCCGACAGGCUGCAAACUGUGUGCAGACUCGGGAAUUGCUGGCUAACAGCCUUCAAGGCUGCAAAUGAGCUUCCAAAACUAUUAGAGCUGGAUAACAGGAGACUUAUAAUACAACUAUUCUGUCAUGGGUAUGUCUGUAUCUGUCAGAAGCCGGCGUGACUCCACUGGGGGAAUCUGUAACCCAUAUCAGGGGAUGGCUGUAAAAAAUGUGUGUUGAUGCAAUCAUUUUGACAUGACAUUUCUUUUUAGGUAGUCUUAAGUGCUUUCUGCUGCCACCAUGCCAUCUCUGCUAACCAGCAUCUACGCUAUGGCUCUCACAGCCACUGAGAAAGCAGGAUAGUCGCAUGGUCUUGUGAAUGGAGAGGAUGUGUCCAAGAUACAGACGACGUUGGGGCAGUGCUCUGUGGCAGACUGCAGACAGCCCCGAUCUCCAGGAACACAGCUGAGUUCUCCAUCCCUGGGCUGCAGAAGAGGGAUCGUAACAGCGCUGACCCUUCCUGGACGCCUGUGAUGGGUGUGUUGAUGGCUGAGGAUGCACAGCACAAACGUCUGUGCAACCUUCUCCUGCCCUUGGAAGAUUUACGGAGCAGCAGACUGGGAUGCCAGAGGAGGAUCCAGCCCAGCAUUUGGAACCAAAUCAACACUGCAGAGAUCACAGGUCUGUGGUAGGAAGCUGGGGGGAUCCAGUGCUCCAGUUUGGGGCCACCUUGGCUCUGAGGCCACAACUAAACACUUGCAGGCUCUGGGAAGGUGAGGAAACCAUCUGAGUCAAAUGCCAACUUCUCCCUUUGCUCUGUGGCUGGUGAUGUGUCAGGCUCUUGAGAGAGAUGUUGCAUCCUGGCUACCCGAAGGCUGAUCACAGAUGCAGAGGCGAUGGGGGAACUAAGUCAAGAACAAGGGGCAAAGCCUUGAUUUUGGUCUUUAGGUGUUUAUGCAAACACUUUCACCAAGGCAGGGUUUUGAUAGACUGGACUGAUGCUGUCAUGUUGUGACACCAAACCAUUUCUUGGUCUCAAGUGGAUUUUUAUCCUUCCAAUGCCUACUGGAGAUGGGGAAGAGGUACGAGAUCCAUUGGUGCCACCUGAGGUUCACACAGAGGAGCUGGGAGCAGAUUUUUACGGUGUUUUAUCUGCUGAGCUGAGAUUUCCAAACUCAUCUGACCCCGUUACCUCAAAACUGCCCAUUCUGGGAUACCACCAUGCCAAGGAGAGGCAGGAGCAAGCCCAGGGCAGGAUCUGGCCGGUAAGGGGUUCCCUCUUUCCGCGCUCUGGCAGCACAUAUCUCCAUCUUACAGUCAUUGCAAGGGAUAAAAAAUGAACUUUGUGUCCAUUUUAACAUAAAAGAUCCCGGGCUUUUUAAGCCCAGCUUUAUAAACAGUGAUGAAAGGUCCUGCAUCGGGCAGAGGUCUGCUUUUGAAAUCUAACAAAUUGUCAUUUUAUGGUUCCCGUGUGGGGAGGGGGUGCUGUAAAUCUCUGAGCAUUUAACGCAUCUGUUCUUUUCCAACUGAGCUACCAGCGUCUCAAGGAGGAGAGGGAGAAAUAUCUGACAUUUCCUGACAUCGGCUGCUCUCGCGGCCCCCGGGAGUUCCUCAGGAAAGUUUUUAAAGGAAUAUUUAUGGAUGAUCCUGGUGAAUCAGGCCCUAAAAGGUCUAUUGAUUACAGUUAAGAGCUUCCUGAAAAGAUGACAACAAAACUAUUUUCUGCACAGUGUUUCCUUCCAAGACUGAUUGAAGACCCUACAGGGAGGGAAGUGCUGCUGGACAACAUCAUGGGAAGGACAUCCUGGCUACCUGCUGGGCUUGAGGAGGGCAGCACCAGUGCGGCUCUGUUGUGUGCUCACCUCGGCCGUGCGCUUUGCUCCCGGACCAACACCAAAACUGCUCUACGUGGCCAGUUUAAAGGGUGGCGUGUGUGAUCCUUCAUUGCUCCAGCCAGGCGUCCUGCAACAAUCCUCCUGCGUGCUGUCAGUGGCUGCUUGCCAUCUGUGGCUAAAGAAAACAGGACCUGGGCAACCCCAGUCCCAGUCUCAUCACCCGAGCAGCUCAGGCACGUGUCUUUUUCUGCUGCCCUUGCAGCGUGACCAUGAGGCCAGGUACCUCAUGCCUUGUAGGAUGGGAUUUGUUCUCUCUCUGUGCUGGGUUUGGGAUACAUUAGAAAUAAAUGGAGUGGAGUCACAGCCUGGUCUGUUCUCCAGCCGAUCACCCAUCAGCAUGUGUGUUGUAUAAAGGAUAAAACAGCAUGGCACUGCUACCAGUUUACAUGGCCCAUGAUCUUCUUGGAGGCACAAGGAUAACCCCCAGCCUGAUCCACUUGCUGCAGAAUCUGUUCAGAUGAGUCAAACCCACAUUUGCUUUUGGUUUUAAUACUUUUUCCCUUCCUUCCUUGAUACAGAGCUGCAAGCACUUGAGAGCAUGGACAGCAGGGCUGGGCUCGUUCCUGCCUCUGCACUGGCGGGAAUGUCCCUGCUCAAAGGUUGAAAGAUAGGUGAAGCGGCAGCGAGGAAAGGGUCAAAACAUCCCCCCGACUGCGAGCAAAAGAAAAAUGUUGGCAGAGGAAACCUUGCCACAGGAAUAAAAGGUUGUCCUGACUGUUCAUAUUACUCCACAUGGGGUGAGUAAAACUGUUGGUCGGACUGAAGCGUCUGAUAUACAAAGGGGAAUAGAAACUCAUUAAAGGUCUAAAAGGAAACCCUAUUAAAAUACCAAAUAUAAAAUGGAGGAGACUUGAUCACUCUGGUGCUAGAGAAGUGUCAGGGUUUGAAUGAACAUGGCUUUUUUUUUUCCCUGAAAGAGGAGGAAAUGUGCUUUGUGGAAAGCCAGGUGGGAUAAGGGGCAGGUAGAGUGUCAAAGAGCACUGAUAAUAUUUCAGGGUCUCACUAGGAGUCUGAAACGCGAAGGGGAUUUAUUCGGCUUUCGGCAGGGAGGAGAGUGCUAGCAGAUUUUUGAAGGCAUUCCAAUGCGGUUCAAAUUCAUCUGUUUCUUAAAUCGAGAGCUCUUGGCUGCCGCUGUGCCGAGGUAGGGAGCAUCUCCACUUCUCCUCUCUCCCACCUGGGACGUGGACUGGCUCAAAGCUGAAGGUGAAUUAGUGCAGGGGAAGGAAAGGAAUUAUAAGAACGAGCUAUAUGAACCAUUUGCUUUCAAGCACUGAAAACCCAUGUUGUCCUGUGAGUGCUGGAAGUACUGAAGCCUGGUUUCCAAUGGAUUUGUGCCUCACAGCCGGUGAACCUUUAAACGCAAUUGUACUGGGGCUGCAGCAGGCUUUCACCCCUUCUUAGACACCACAGCAGCCACAAGGGGAAAAAAGACAUGAUGAACGCCUCAUCCAGAGCUAUUCCUGCCUGAUGAGCCACCCCAGAGUCCCUUUCUUAACCAUUUUCUCCUGUGUGGACUCUCUGUUGUCUCAUAGAUAAGAACGGUACCAAGGCUUGGGAAUUUUUAUCUUAUCUCUUUGGGGAUUUGUAGUUUUCUGAUCAUGGUUGAAGUCAGAGAAGGCAUAAAUGGAGGGUUUCUCUCUCACAUACACACACGUCUCUCUUAUCGCAAUACUUUUAGGAGCUUGCUACCUUUGGGACUUCUGCCAGCUGUUGAAACCAGCACCAGAAUUCAGUAAUUACCAGGGGUUGGUGCUGGAGGGAAACAUACACCCAUACACAGGCUGUCAACAUACAUUGCAUUUCCUCACAAAACCUAGGUUCAAGUAAAAGCUUGUUUCUCAUUUAGACAGAGGUAGAGAGUUCUAAGGCGGGCCCCAAGCUAACCCAUUUCUUCUUGCUCUGCUACCGUUUUCUUCUUCCAUCACAAUAAGGUGUGGGUUUCCUCAACUGUGCCUCUCAGAUCCUGGUUUUUGGAGAAUGAGGAUGGUUUUCUCCCAUCUCAACAACAUCAAGCUACAAACAGGGCCCAUCAUUCACUCAUAAGCAUGUUACAAUCACCUAAGUCCUGUUUCCUUAUGAAACCCGAGCAGAGCUGAUUCCACGGAGCAGAUGACACUUUGUCAGGUCAUUACCAUGCACCAUUUUAAUGGUCUGUUCGCUCUACAGCUCUGCUGUUGUGGUCAAAGAGAAAUUCCACUUUGCUUCUGGUGCUGGUAGAUAGAAACGCCUUCCUCCAACCCUAGGGUGUUCAAUCCCAGGGAGCAGAAGUCUUCAGCAUCUUCAGGUAAUGCCUCAACCUGAUCCAGGCUGCUCCUUGUCAGGCCUCCUGGAAGCACAGAUGUGGGUCCAGUCUGGGACCCUUCCACACUUCCUCCCUGUAAAAUAAACCAGGAGCAUGGCAGGGCUUUUUGGGGAAGUAAUGGGCAGAGUGAUGGCUUUACUGAUGCAUGGCAUUGUGUAUUCCUUCCUUUAUGUCUCACCUUCCAGCCUGCAGCUGAUAAUUAUCUAUAUUCAACUCUUUUAUUUCAUGUUUAUCAGAUAUCCCCAAAUAGAAUCAUAGAAUGGUUUGGAUUGGAAGGAACCUGAAAGAUCAUCUAAUUCCAACCGCCCCUCAUCUUCCCGAUUCUGAAAUCUCUACUGCUGUUCCAGGCAGCUGACAAACAUGACCCCAUGCUGCACCAAGCCCCAGAAAACAGCAGCAGAGAAUUCAUGCAGAAAGGGGCAGCGGCAAGUGCACGGCAGAGUAGUCUGUGCUGUGAGGCGAUUGGGAAAGCUGUUGCUCUAGUGCUGAAACACAAACAGAAGAAUCUGUUUGCAUUUCCAGGUGAGUUUUGAGACAUUUCUAGCAGGUUAUGGACCAGCUCUUGCUGGCCAUUGAAAUGGACUGACCGCCCAAUCACUGGUCCUCUCACUGUGACUGCAGGAGUUCAUGGGAAGCUCCUUCUCUUUUUACUUACUUCACACAGCUCGUGCCUUUGGAUGGGGUGUCAUGUGUUAUUUACAGGCUCACAGAGCAGGAGAGCUGUCUUUUCACCCCAGACGCAAAAGACACUGACCUAGAAGAUGAAGACCGUGAAGCAGGAGCCUGUGACGUCAGUCCCAGACCUUGAGCUUUGCUAGGUCUGGGCAUGAAACCCCACAUGGCAGAGCAGGCUGAGCUCAGGCGAUAUGAAAUUUAACCACAUAUUUUACACCCACACCACUAAAAAUAGGACACAGACGCCAACUCUUCAUCUGGAAAGAGAGGAAACACCAGCGUUGCUGUAUUUUGGAUGAGGUGCAGCACUGAAGUCCUGACCAUAUUUAGCCAUAAGAUCAUCUCAUAAGGCCACAUGAGAGCAGAGCUUCAGAAGAAUUAUUCUGGCCAAGCGCCAGUUCUGCCUUUAUUAUUUCUCCCUGCUAUCUCAAUACUUCAUUUCAUUACCUAAAUUGCUGUGCUGAGUUACUCUAGGCUGUUAAAAUGCUGUCAUGCUACACAAGCAACUCCAUGAAGGAAAUGAUGUCUCUACUGCAAGUGCUCCACGUGGCUGAAUUCAGGCCACCUAUUUAGGUGUCGGGUUUAGGUUUUCAUAGUAAGCACAGAAACUUGAAACAUUUUGCCCGAAUGUGUUGAA